GUGUGUCACUGAAAUUCGAGUAUAGUUUAAGGUACUUGUGCCUUAUCCGCACAUUUAUUGUAUUAUGCCUUUAUCUUUUCUCAUCUAUCUCUUCCAUAUUUUGUGAUCUUCGUCUAUAAAGUCCACACCACAUUAAAUCAGUUUUUGUGUUUCAUUUAGAUAAAGUUUGAUUAGUGAACUUCUUCUGAUAACAGAUAAGGAAAUAUGAAGAACUCCAUCAGUGUAGCUGCCUUUGUAUUUGCGCACUUCAUUGUUUUCGUCAUCACUACAACAAGCGGAGAUCGAGUAUGCCUCCUUCCCUUUGAUGUUCCCCAACCUUGUGACUCAAAUUACUGCAACGCCCUAUGCAACAAACAGUACGGAGAAAAGCCACCUGGUGCUAUUAAAGGGCCACUUCGUGGAGGAAAUUGCAUUGGUCAAACAUGUUUUUGCAUUUUUUGUUGUUUCGAGAAAUGUACUGAUUUCCGUUGAUGAAUUACUAGCUAUUUCCUGAUGGAAUACAUGAAUAAUAUUCUCUUUACGUAUUGUGUAA